rnacentral:rRNA from 1 species
AUUGAACACUGGCGGCAGGCUUAACACAUGCAAGUCGAGCGGAGAUGAGGUGCUUGCACCUUAUCUUAGCGGCGGACGGGUGAGUAAUGCUUAGGAAUCUGCCUAUUAGUGGGGGACAACAUUCCGAAAGGAAUGCUAAUACCGCAUACGUCCUACGGGAGAAAGCAGGGGAUCUUCGGACCUUGCGCUAAUAGAUGAGCCUAAGUCGGAUUAGCUAGUUGGUGGGGUAAAGGCCUACCAAGGCGACGAUCUGUAGCGGGUCUGAGAGGAUGAUCCGCCACACUGGGACUGAGACACGGCCCAGACUCCUACGGGAGGCAGCAGUGGGGAAUAUUGGACAAUGGGGGGAACCCUGAUCUAGCCAUGCCGCGUGUGUGAAGAAGGCCUUAUGGUUGUAAAGCACUUUAAGCGAGGAGGAGGCUACUGAGACUAAUACUCUUGGAUAGUGGACGUUACUCGCAGAAUAAGCACCGGCUAACUCUGUGCCAGCCGCCGCGGUAAAAC